AGAAAUGGGCAAAAGAGGCCACCGACUUAGCUCAUUUAUCUCUAGCAUCUUUAACAGGUGCCAAGCAUCCUCCAUGCCGCCAUUUUUGCUGCCAACUAACUUUAAGAGCAAGCAUGGCCAAAAAGGGAGUGUGGCUGGGAGGCGGUCAGAUCAUAGAGAAGAGCAGCUGUGGCAGGGUGUGGGAAACGUAGCAGGAAAGGCAGCCCCUCUUACCUUUCUUCAUGCAGCAAACACUUAUUAAGCACCAACAGUGUGCUAGGCAGCACAUCAUGGGCACCAUCCACUUUAUUCCUGAGCGGCACCUGCCACACCAGGAGCUGGCCUUUGUUACUUUUUGCCUGGACUGUGAACCUCUAACACCUCCUGACUUUCUCUGUCCCCCUGCUCCCGCUCUCAAAAAACAGCCAUUCUGACCCACUGCUGCCGACUUAUUUCCCACUUUUGAAGGGACCAGAUGCCGCCCUCCAGGACCGCCGACCACUAGCGUGGGGGAGGUGUGCAUGAAACGACCAACACGCAGACAGAGCUCAGAAUCAUAAGUGAGACCCCCAGCCACGUAGGCUUUCCAGACACUCCCCAGGGAAUCCUGACAAAACCGCCAGGCUGGAAGGAGACGUGCCAAACGCUGCUGAC
rnacentral:lncRNA from 1 species